AACGAACGCUGGCGGCGUGCUUAACACAUGCAAGUCGAACGGGGUUACAUUGUGUAGCAAUACAUGGUGUAACUUAGUGGCGGACGGGUGAGUAACACGUAGGUAACCAACCCUAGAGCGGGGGACAACCCAGGGAAACUUGGGCUAAUACCGCAUAAGACCACGGACUGGGAGGUCAGUGGUAAAAGGAGCAAUUCACUCUAGGAUGGGCCUGCGGCCUAUCAGGUAGUUGGCGGGGUAAAGGCCCACCAAGCCUAAGACGGGUAGCCGGACUGAGAGGUUGAACGGCCACACUGGAACUGAGACACGGUCCAGACUCCUACGGGAGGCUG
rnacentral:rRNA from 1 species